GGGGUCCCAUGCUGGACCUAACCCUGGCUGGCCAUGCAGAACUGGUGGUUAUUGGGCCCUGCAUCCCGACUGGUUUGGUUCUUCCUGUGUAAAAUGCACAAAGAAGCUUGUGCCUCAAAGGGAGGGGCCUGGGAGAACAAGAAGGAUCGGUUCCUGGACCCUGGCCCAGCCCUAGGGACAUGCAUUCAACUGAGUCCUUUGCCGAGGGAGGUUGCUGGCAGAGCUGAAGGAAGCAUUUUUCUCAGGGACUCUGUGAGCUAUGGAGAAGCCCACGGAGCUGCUCAGGGGCCUGCAUGGCACAGAACCCCCCAGAGCUCUGAAGGGGAAUCAGCUAGUUGCUGGGCCCUGCGUUUCUCCAGGAAGACCUAGCUGCUCUGGCCCCUGGGGCUGCAGCUCGGGGGCCACCAGGUCCAGCUCUUCAUUGCAGUCACCAGCAGCAGUAAGGCAGUAAUUAUGGGGCUGUACUGACCUCAAAGGGCUUCCUGCUUUGGCUGAAAGGCCCAGGCAGGAGAAGAGAGACCUGCGGGAGCCCUAGGGGAUGGAGGACGGAUGCUGUGUGAGUGGGUCCUACCCUAAAUGGUCUAAGACCAGUACAGUUGGGUUGGAUCAUUACUGGACUCUGUAACCAUCAGCUGCUGAGACCUGGGGAAACUGGCUACAGAUGGGAUCUUGGUUUUGAGUAUUUGAAGGAUCAUCAAAUCGGGGCCGGGGGGGGGGGCGGGGGGAGAAACUAGCUCUGCAAAGCACAUCAGUGUGUAAACUGUGGGGAGACACACUUUAACUGAGCUUGAGGAAGGAUCAUUCUAAUUGUCACAGCUGUCCAGAGUAGGCGUGGUCUGCCCUGAAUCAGUUCCAACUGAGGUUGUGUGACUCUGGGUCCAAAACCUUGUGUAGAGGAUGUAAGGAGGGGGUAGGAAUGGGGGAAGUGGAGGGAGUAUUUUUCAAAGUGCUGCUGGAGGACCACCUGCAUCAGAUACACCUUGUGGGGAAGAUAUUGAAAUGCAGGUUCCUGGUCCUCCCAGAAAUUCUAAUUUGGUAGGUCUGGGUGUGGCUCCAGUGUUUGCAUAUUUAACACAUGCCCCCCACCAUCUCAGUGUGCACUAGGGUUUGAGAACCACUGCAGCCAGGUGUUUGCAGCUGUGAAACUUGAAGGCUCUACAUCCCAGCGUGUUCUCCCUACCCUUGUGGCACCACCAAAAACUAUUGCAGAGAGAAUCUACAAGUCCGUAACCCACUCACGUCCCCUGUGCCUGAACAUUAAAUAUUAGAAAUGUGAGUAGGAGAAGGAGUAGGUUUCCUAUUAAUUUCUUUAGCCUGAAUUAAAUCUUUUUUUCCCCACAAAAACACUUUAAAGGUUUUUGUCUGAGCCACAUCUGUGACCUACACCACAGCUCAUAGCAAGGCUGGAUCCUUAACCUACUGAGAGAGGAAUCUGACUAGCAUCCAUGAGGACACAGGUUCGAUUCCUGGCCUCACUCAGUGGGUUAAGGAUCUGUCAUUGCCGUGAGCUGCAGUGUAGGUCACAGACAGAGCUCGGAUCUGACAUUGCUGUGGCUGUGGUGUAGGCCAGUGGCUACAGCUCUGAUUCCAUCUCUAACCUGGGAAUCUCCAUAUGCCUCGGGGGUGGCCCCAAAAAGACCAAAAAACAAAAACAAAAAUAAAAAUAAAACCCCACAUGGAUCAAACACAACAGGUCUAUUGGUGACACUGAGCCCAACAUUCUCCAGCUUCCACAUGGACCCCAGGGCAGAACACCAGGAUAUCAUGACUGGGAUCUCUACAGAAUUGCAGGGCAGGGAGGGGCUGCUGCUCGAGAAGGGGAGAACUAGAUGAUGGACUGGAGGAUGGAAGGGAAAACCACUCUCUGUGAAGUCUGUGUGUAUGCCCUGCUGGUUAAAUUAUGAUUCUUGAGAAUAGGGACGGUCUCUCAUUUUCCUCUUCCACCAGCACCUGUCACAGCAAAUGUUCGCAGGAUGGAAUGAAAUGAAUGGAGCAGAGGGAGGGAUUCCCCCUUUGCUGACAGGCUUUCUGUGGGUAGACAGGUGAGAUGCAGGCCCCAUUACCAAGUUACCUUCUGAGUCUCACGGCCUCCUGGAGUAUGUAUAGGAAGGACCCAGAUGAUGCUGUUGUCAUCUUCAAAGUGGGAAAGAGGAAGACUCGUUGCUGAGAAGAGGGUCUGAGUGAGGCAGCCUCCUAACACCAGGCUAAGGGCCACCUCUGAACAACUGGGGGACGUUUCCAUUUUCCCAGUUUAGGCUAGAGGAGCAGUGCCUGCCCCAGGGCACCUGGAGAGCCCAAGGCCACAGGUCCCUGGAAUGAGGUUGCUCACUGGGUGGGCCUGGCCCUCCUGCAAUGUUCCAUCCCUUGCAGGAGGGGCCACAGUAAGUCAGGGGGUAAGAUCAGGUGAAGGUGGGUCAGGGGCUGUGCCUGCUUUGGGAGCAUCACGUUUUCCUCCAGGUCCGUGGCUCCCUGAGGAGGAAGAGCAUCGAGCCCUGGGACUCCUUGUUCCCCAAUUUUGUACUAGCUGGCCGCUGGACCUGAGAGGUCCCCUCUCCCCUCCAGCCCGAUGUGUCCUUGUCACAGAGGGUUGGGAGAUAUGAGCUCUAAGAUUCCUCCCAAGCUUCAUGAUUUUUUGAUCUUCAAGAGAAAGAUGCCUUUUAAAGCCUCCCUGUGGGAGUUGGAGUUCUCCUGGGGCUUUUCACCCUCCCUCCACCCCUCUCCAGCCUCAUCAAAGAUCUGCACCAUUUGCCUUUCCCUGGAUCUACUCCCAUGGUUCUCACCUGCUGCUCCAGUGGGGGGCAAGAAGGGGGGGUGGGCACGGCAUGUGAAACCAUCUACUUUGAGGUGCAAAUUUCCAAAAUUGACCAGUUGGCAGGAAGGAGGCAUUUAUUACAUUUGUUUUCUCCUUCUCCCUCCUGCACUUUGCUGGGACCUGCAUUAGAAUGGGAUCCUCUUGUUUCUAAAGACUCUGAUGCACCCCAAGCAUCUGUGGGUGAAACAUGAAGACAGCGAGUUUCAUGAAGGCUGGGGUCUUUGUCUGCUUAGUUCAGCACUCAGUCCCCAGCACCUAAAAAAAAAAAAAAUGCCUGGCAUGUAGUAGACACUCAAUAAAUAUUUGCUGUAUAAAUGAAUGGAAAGUGAAGGACAAAGCCAGUGGUUUUCAACCCAGGCUGCACAUUACAAUUACUUGGGGAACUUUAAAAAAAUACUGUUGCCUGGGUCUUAUGUGGGAGAUUUUGAUUUAAUGGAUUUGGGUGCAGACCCAGGAAUCAACAUUUUAAAAAGAUUUCCCAGGUGAUUCCCAUGCGUUACAUAAAGCAGGAUUGAACCAAGGAGAUGGGUGACUCCCAAGGACCUGGCCUCUAACCUACAGUCCCAGGGCAGCUCUCCCACCCCCCACUUCCUUCCUAUCCUCCUCUCCUGUCAUCCAAGGAUGGGAUCGUGAAUUGGGAGCUUCCCGGGCUGUAGUGUGAUUUUGACUGGGAAAUACUUAGGAACCAAAUUAUAAAUACAAAAUAGACCUUGGUUCCCCCAAAGAAGGCAAAUUCUUUUUUUUAUAAUUAAUUUUAUUUCAUUUUUAGGGCAACCCUUGUGGCAUAUGGAAGUUCUCAGGCUAGGGGCUGAAUGGAAGCUACAUCUGCCGGCUUACACCACAGCCACAGCAGUGUGGGAUUCUAGCUGUAUCUUCGACCUAUGUCACAGCUCAUGACAACACCAAAUCCUUAACCCACCAAUUGAGGCCAGGGAUGGAACCCAAAUCCUCAAUGGAUAUUAGGCGGGUUCAUUACCGCUGACCACUGAGCCACAACGGGAACUCCAGCAAAUUAUAAAAGGCAUUAAAUUCAUCCAAUCACAAAUCAUAAAACACUGAUCAAGGACUUACUAUGUUCAGGGGAGUUGCUGGGUGGUCUAGUGGUUAGGACUUGGCGCUUUCACCACGGUGGCCUGGGUUCGAUCCCUGGUCUUGGAACUAAGAUCCCUCACCACCCCAUGGC
rnacentral:lncRNA from 1 species